rnacentral:tRNA from 1 species
GACGAUGUGGCUGAGAUAGGCAAUAAAUUGUAAAUUUAUUUACGGACUUUAGGUUCCAUCGUCA